rnacentral:lncRNA from 1 species
AUUUAGGGUUUUUCCAUGAAUCGAUCCCAACCUUAAGCAAACAAUAGCUUAGGAUCAUCUAAGAAGCAUCCUAGUAAGGUUUCUAGACCCUUGGAACCAACCCUAGGGCUUCCAUGGCAAACCCUACCCAACCACCAUGAGAGCACUUGAGCUCUCAUGGGUUCCAUGGAGUUCAAGGCAUAUAGAAGGCUCCCAUGGCCAAAAACAACCCAAAGCUCCAAAACAUAGGGAUUAAAACCAAGCCCUAGACUCAUUUCUACCAAAAACUCACCUUAGCCCAAGCCUCUCCAAGUCCUUCUUGUAGGAGAGCUUGUAGAACCCACCAAAGCCUCCAAAUCCACCUUCCUUUGCUUCUUCUUCUUUUCUCCAAGCCCUAGAGCAAGAGUUCUAGAGAGAGAAAGAGAGGAAAUGGGAGAGAAGGGUGAAAAUGGCUGUGGGAGAGAGAGGGGUGUCCACAUAUAGUAUUGUGACAAUUGCAUUUAAACCCCUCAGCUUGUUUCCCCUUGAUCUGCCCAGACUGGGCGUUUUUCGCCUUCGGGGACCGGUCUCCCCGACCAGGGACCGGUUCCCGAACGUGGGUGUUCCAGGACUUAGCCAAAUUUUCGGGUUUUUCGGCUGUUGCGCAGCAAGGGACCGGUCUGCCCCUUUAGGGACCGGUCUCCCAAGGACCGGUCUCACCACCAGGGACCGGUUGCCUCAGGACUUCCUGGCAGGCUACGCGUACGGGGACCGGUCUCUCCUUCAGGGACCGGUCCCCGAGAGCACAAAAUCUGAGACUUAACCAGAUUUUCUGAUUCUCUCUCUCGGGUCCCUUUUUGCUUCUCCUAUGAGCCCUAAUGUGCUCAGGGUCCAUUCUAACUAGUUCAAUUCCGCGUUCCACUCGUUUUGACGGAACUCGGCACGAUUUACGAGGGAUGUGGUAUGUUACAUUCUCCACCCCUUAAUUUAGUUUCGUCCGCGAAACUUCUAAGGUUGAAAUUUAAAUUUCAUACCUCACUUCGGAUCCUCGAAGAGGUGAGGAUAACGCUCCCUCAUUUCGCUUUCGAGCUCCCACGUUUCUUUCCGGUCAUCAUGUUCGCACCAAUGAAUCUUGACAUAUAGGAUUUCGCUGUUCCGAAGCUUUCGCACCUCCCUAUUGACAAUAUACGCCGGGAACUCCUCAUAAGUCAUAUCCUCUUGAAGUUCUAUCGGUAUGUACGAGAGAAUAUGAUCCGGGUCGUACAUAUACUUGCGGAGUUGAGAUACAUGGAAUACAUCAUGUACUCCCGCCAGCCUCGGUGGUAAUGCCAACUUGUAGGCCACCGCUCCAACUCGUUCCAAAAUCUCGAAGGGUCCGAUAUAGCGGGGGCUCAAUUUUCCGCGAACACCGAACCUCUUAACUCCUCGCAUCGGCGAUACUUUUAGAAAUACGCGGUUUCCUACCGCGAACUCAAUAUCCUUUCGCCGCUUGUCGGCAUAACUUUUGUGCCUUGAUUGCGCCGUUACUAACCUUUGUCGGGCAAGGCGGACCUUCUCUUCCACCUCCCGCACCACAUCCGGGCCAAGAACCAUUUUCUCGCCCACAUUGCUCCAGUGUAUCGGCGAGCGACACUUCCUUCCAUACAGGGCCUCGAAUGGCGCCAUCGCAAUACUUUCCUGAUAACUAUUGUUAUAUGCGAAUUCUGCCAUCGGUAAAUGAUCGUGCCAUCCGCCCUUAUAAUCAAGUACACACGCUCGAAGCAUGUCCUCAAGUAUUUGAAUCGUCCUCUCCGAUUGACCGUCACUUUGAGGAUAGAAUGCCGUACUAAAGUCGAGCCGCGUGCCUAGUGCCUCUUGUAAGCUCUUCCAGAAAUGAGAUGUGAACCUAGGGUCCCGAUCCGAUACAAUAGAUACCGGAACCCCAUGAAGUCUCACCACCUCGUCGAUAUAGACUUGAGCUAACUUAUCGCCCGACCAAGUAGUGUGAAUCGGCAAAAAGUGUGCCGAUUUUGUCAACCGGUCCACAACUACCCAUAUCGCGUCAUGUCCACCCUGUGACUUAGGCAGCCCCGUCACAAAGUCCAUUGCAAUGUUUUCCUAUUUCCACACGGGUAUAGGUAGGCUCUGCAAUUUUCCCGCUGGAAAUCGACGCUCCGCCUUCACUUGUUGGCACGUGAGGCAUUGCGCCACGAACUCCCCUAUAUCCCUCUUCAUGCCCAGCCACCAAUAAUGCAAUUUCAAAUCUUGAUAUAUUUUGGUGCCGCCCGGGUGGAUGCUAUAGGGAGAUUGAUGCGCUUCUUGCAUAAUCGCCCUCCGAAGAUCGUCGUCCUUGGGAAUGCACCAACGACCUCGAUAUCGUAGUGCGCCGUCGAUUUCAAUGCCAUAAUCAUCGGCACUACCACUUUCAACUUUACCCCGCACCUUUUGGAGAAACUCAUCCGAUGCUUGUAAUUCUUUAAUUUUCUCCAACAAGGUUGGUUGCACAAUUAAGGUGACAAGUGUUGCCGGCACUCCCGGCGCCACAACUUCUAGUCCCAACCGUUGCAUCUCCUUCUGCAAUGCCGGUUGAGGCGUAAUUUCCACCGCCAAAUUUUUUCCCGACUUUCUACUUAGAGCAUCGGCCACGCCGUUCGCUUUUCCGGGGUGGUAGAGAAUCGUGACAUCAUAAUCUUUAAGCAACUCUAACCACCGCCGCUGUCGCAAGUUCAGCUCCUUCUGGGUGAACAAAUAUUUGUGACUCUUAUGAUCGGUGUAGAUCUCACAAUGUUCCCCAUACAAGUAAUGCCUCCAUAGUUUUAGCGCGAAAACAACCGCCGCUAGCUCAAGAUCGUGAGUCGGGUAGUUUUUUUCAUAACUCUUCAAUUGGCGCGAAGCAUAAGCUAUGACUCGGCCGUUUUGCAUUAAGACACACCCGAGACCGAUGUAUGAGGCAUCACUGUAUACGACAUAGUUUUCUCCCGGCGUCGGCAAAGAAAGCACCGGAGUAGACGUCAGUCUAGUCUUCAGCUCCUCAAAGCUCCGCUCACACUCGGGGCUCCACACAAACUUCACCCCUUUGUGCGUAAGGCGCGUUAGUGGAAUUGUUAUCUUAGCAAACCCUUCCACGAACCGCCGGUAAUAGCCCGCAAGUCCAAGGAAGCUACGAAUUUCCGCUACACUCGUUGGGCGAGGCCAAUCUUUAAUCGCCUCAACUUUCUUUGGAUCCACCGAGAUGCCAUCUCCGGAUACAACGUGGCCCAAAAAGGUGACCUCCGAAAGCCAAAACUCGCAUCUUUUCCUUCCGAAGUAUCUCCAAGACGAGUCUUAGAUGCUCCUCGUGUUCUUCCUCGAUCCGAGAAUAUACCAAUACGUCGUCAAUGAAAACCACGACGCACCAGUCCAAUAGCGGACGGAAGAUCCGAUUCAUUAAGUCCAUAAAUGCCGCCGGUGCAUUAGUGAGCCCGAAUGGCAUGACCGUAAACUCAUAAUGGCCGUACCGCGUGCGGUAUGCCGUCUUGUGCACAUCUUUGGGACGUAUCUUCAAUUGAUGAUACCCCGACUGCAGAUCAAUCUUUGAAUAUACCCUUGACCCCUGCAAUUGGUCGAACAGGUCAUCAAUUCUUGGCAACGGGUAUUUGUUCUUGAUCGUCACUCUAUUCAACUCGCGGUAAUCAACGCAGAGCCGGAGUGUUCCGUCCUUCUUCUUUACAAAUAGCACCGGAGCUCCCCACGGGGACACGCUCGGCCGUUCGAAGCCCUUAUCGAGCAAGUCUUGUAAUUGAGCUUUCAAUUCCUUCAACUCCACCGGUGCCAUUCUAUACGGAGCCUUCGAAAUCGGCGCCGCCCCGGGAAUCAAGUCAAUGACGAACUCGACUUCCCGAUCUGGGGGCAAUCCCGGUAACUCCGCUGGGAAUACAUCCGGAUACUCCCGCACAACUCGAAUACUCUCCAGUUCCGGGUAUUCCUUUCGAGGGUCUACGAUGGUCGCCAAGUAGGCCUUACAACCGCCCUUGAUCAUUCUUUUCGCCCUCACCGUCGAUAUAGUGGCUGCAAAGCGUUUGCCCUUGCACGCCCGAUAGACAAACUCCUCUUGGUUGGGUUCACGGAACGUGAUCACCCUUCUUUCACAAUCUAUAACCGCGUAGUACUUGGAGAGCCAGUUGAUCCCCAAGAUUACUUCGAAUCCCCACAUUUCCUUCAACACGAGGAGGUCGAUCGGCAUAACCCAAUCACCUAUUUGCACUGGGCAGUCCAAGCACUCAUCAUAGACGUCGAUCGAGUGCGCGGGAGUGUUCACGAACCAAUACUCCUCAUUAUGAGUGAUCUCUAUAUUAUGAGCUCGUGCAAAUGAUGCUAAUAUGAAUAAAUGAGAUGCACCCGUAUCAAAAAUGGCUCUAGCCCUAGUGCCUCUGAUGAGAAUAAUACCUGCCACGACGUCGUCGGGAACGAUGAUUGGUGGCUCCUCCACCUAAGUGGCAAAAACCCGCCCACUAGGUGCUCGAGAAGCCUCCGGCUUACGUGGCGCCGAUGAUCGUCCAGCAGAUGUUGCGGGUGGCAGUCCCGCCAGCUGUCGCUGCGUGUACUGUACUGAGGCUGAUGACGGGGCUGGAGACGCGCCGCCCGGGCACUCUCGACUCAUGUGCCCCGGUUGGCCACAUCGAUAACACCGCCCCUCCCGCUGUGGGCAACUGGUGGCUCUAUGCUACCUGCCGCAUAUCACACACGGGUAGUUAAUCUGGCCCCGUGUCUGACUCCUACCUCCCCGCCAUUGCAAUCGUUGUGGUCGCGGGGGUCGCUUAGAACUCGACUGCCCCGCCGAUCCACCAGCCGGCCGCUUUUCUGUCUUAUCUCUUUCCCUUUCUCUCUCAAAGGUCUCGCGCUCAUCACGCGCGAUUGCAUUCCCGCGCUCCACCCAAAGCGCGCGAUCAAGCACUUCCUCGUAGGUCUUCAACCGGAAAGCAUGUAUGACCUUAAAAAUCUCGGGUCGCAACCCGCGCUCGAAUACUUCCGCUCGGUUCCUAUCUCCAUGGACCAAGUCUGGCACACAGUUAAUCAUGUGCGUGAACUCCCUCUCGUACUCCCGCACUGAACGGCUUCUUUGCCUCAGCUUCCUGAAAUCCUCCUUGAUUUUCCUUUUGUCGCUUUCGGGGAAAUACUCCAUCAGCAGCAUCUCCCGGAACGCUUCCCAAGUAAGGAAAGGGUGCCCUAGCGAGCGAUUUUUUCUCGCUUGGUUCCACCACAACCGAGCCGACCUAUCGAAGCAAUGAGCCGCUAGGUGAACUUUAUCCUUCUCAAGAGUAUAGAUAUCCUCGAAUAAGGCCUCCAUCGCGGUUAACCAAUUCUCCGUCGUCCACGGAUCCUUCACGUCACCGUUGAAGGUUGGAGGGUUAAACCGCUUAAAUGCCGUCAGCGCCGCCAACGUGCGCUCCUGCUCGGCCUCAAGUACAUCGAAAAUUGGAGCCGAUGAACCCGAUGCCGUCGGAGGAAUAGCCGUCACUUGCGCUGCCUCCACCGCAAGAGGUGGUGCUACAGGAGCAGCUGGUGCAGGCGGAUCCCUCGGCACAGAGGCCGCCGCUGCCUGUUGCGCCAUCAUUUCAUGGAGCUGCCCAAUCCUCUCUCCUUGAAGCCGCAUAACCCCGGCCAACGCCGCUACCUGGGCUCGCAGCUCACGCACGUCGUCCGACCCCGACUGCCCUGGCUCCUCCCGAGGCUCCGCCGGUGUGGACCUCGUAACUCUCCUUGGUGGUGCCAUCGCGUCGUGAAACGCAAUGUAUACACACACAUUAGUACUCGAAGCACGUGACUCUUACACGUUACAAACAACUACCAAAUUAAGCGAAAGCACAAGCCUAAUUAUUUCCACUCUCGGUGUUAUGUGGUCGGCCGCCCCACAGAGUCCCUUAAGUAGACAACAAUUAAGCCUGCUAAUCCAUCUCUACUUCCUUCUAGAGAAGUGUUAUAGUUAACCCAAUCAUUCGCUUUCGCAUAAACCAAGUCCACGUCAAGCGUUUUCCUAAGUCCUUAGGGUCUCCAAACCUAUGGUUUCUAGGUCACUCCUAGACUUUUGCUUUCCACUUCUCUCUGAUACCAUUAUAUCUGUCACGCCCCAAUCCCCGCCAAUUUGGUCGGGUUCGGGUCACGUCAACAGACGCCGAACGGACAGAGCCUCCCCUGUCCGCCCAAGGCUCUAACAACAUGUAUAAAUAGGCAAUCAACAAGAGAAUUACAUAUAUAAUACAAGGCUUGCACAAGGGCAAGCAACAACGGAAGCGAAAGUUCUAAGCUAAAUAUACACCACACAUGAUAUUUGAUUUCAUUUAAACCAAAUUCAAGUAAACAAAGCUAUUACAUUCCAUUCAACCAUCAUAUCUUUUUACAUUUAGUCAUCCACCAAAUACAUGAUUGUUUACAACUUUACAUCUCUAAUUCCACAAAAUAAAGCUGCUACAUAUACACCAAAAGGGAAAUGACUACAAAAUGUAAUGUUACUCCGGUGGCCGCUACCUACGACGCUAAACCCUUGCCUCGGUCCUCCGCCGCCCCGCUCGUGCUAGGACCUGUAGGGUUAGUGGUGUGAGAACUAUAACGAAGUUCCCAGUGGGCUCGGCAUCCGACCUCGCCGACUUACCCACUAGGUCUAUCCAGGCAUAAGUAUUUCAAAGGAGGAAAUGUAACCACUACUAAUGCAACUAAUACUAUGCCUGCAGGAAAGAAGUCAGUAGAUAUAUAAUUUCAAUGCGAUAAUGAAAAUGCAUGCAUGCUCCAAUCAUAAUCAAACUUUGGCUCUUAUCCAAUCUUACCGGUUAACUCUGUUAACCCCAAUAACUCACAACCCAAAAUCCCUUAAUAACGGGGGACUCGAACCUCCCUAGGGACCGUCAACUGGUGGGACUUUACCUUGCCCAGUGGUGACCAACUCCGGAGCGCACCGCUCGAUGGGGAGCGACCUCCCUCAAGCCAAGACGUAAUGUGAGUAUCGAUCUAAUCCCCAACUUGAGGAUUCAUAGCCACUGGUCACAAUGUCGAUGUCAUGAUAGGUCUCUACCUAUUCAUUCUUGCCACUCUCAAGGCCAUAUCCGUGAUGAUGCCAUAAUUUGGUUAAACUAGAUUUAACGGUUUAUCUCUCAAUGCCAAUCUUGUUUCUAUGUCAAUGUCACCCUUGUUUUCUAUUGUCCAAGUCCAACCUCACAUUCACACAACUUGAGGGUCCAAUCACACAUGUCCUCUUGGUUCUAUCGUCCACUAUGUUCAACUACGUUAGAAACAUAUAAAUGAAGUCAAACCAAGUUCCACAUGUAUCUACCCUACUAUGCAUGAAUGGGUAUAUCUACACAUAUAUGCUCAAGAGUAGAGAAAACAGACAUAGAAGGGAAUCCAACGAUUCCGGCGUGCACCCCCCACCUCUAAUAAUCGUGUGGGUGUAGUUUAUGACGACUCCCGGAUUUUACAAAAGCCGCUUCCGCGCCCUAUAAUCAAAACGGUGCCAUAUUAGGCCUUUUGUACAUGAACUAUACUCUAUCAUUUUCGUAAUGUUAAACGGAGUUGCCCAACGUGUUUAGGGCACCCCCAAUUAGGUUUCUGCGAGGUCAAUUUGUCCCCGAACAAUCCUAGGGCAAAAGCCCCAAAUUCAAACCCUGAUAUUGUCAUUUAGGGUUUUCCCAUGAAUCGAUCCCAACCUUAAGCAAACAAUAGCUUAGAAUCAUCUAAGAAGCAUCCUAGUAAGAUUUCUAGACCCUUGGAACCAACCCUAGGGCUUCCAUGGCAAACCCUACCCAACCACCAUGAGAGCACUUGAGCUCUCAUGGGUUCCAUGGAGUUCAAGGCAUAUAGAAGGCUCCCAUGGCCAAAAACAACCCAAAGCUCCAAAACAUAGGGAUUAAAACCAAGCCCUAGACUCAUUUCUACCAAAAACUCACCUUAGCCCAAGCCCCUCCAAGUCCUUCUUGUAGGAGAGCUUGUAGAACCCACCAAAGCCUCCAAAUCCACCUUCCCUUGCUUCUUCUUCUUCUCC